CAGACAAACCACUGCUGUAUGAAGGAUGGCAGUUGACCUUGACAGCUGUGGAGUGAAUUAUGUUUGGGUAUCCAAAAGAUAAAAGGAAGAAGUGCUAAGAUUAGUAAGUGGGCAACCAAUGUCAGAAAUGAACAUGGACAAGUGAUCAUGACUGUCAUGACUACAAUUAAAGGCUAUGGUCUGUCUAACAUGAUACAAGACCUGUGUGCACGCUACCAGAAUGCCUUAGGGCCAUCUCCUCGGAUCCUGUAUGUUGAUAGGGACUGCUAUGGUGCUGCAUAUAUUGGAAAAUACUUUAAAACCUGGCCAUACCUUACAGUGAGACUGGAUAUCUGGCAUUUCAUGCAGAGAUUGUCUGUCGGAUGCACAACUGAUGCCCAUCUAUUGUACGGGACCUUCAUGGGUUGUCUCAGCCACUGUAUCUUCAAGUAGGAGGAUGAAGCCAUCAAGACACUCCCAGUCCUUUUGACAACUGGCAGGCUCGACAUGUUGCCCUUUGGCAUCUAGUGUUAGUUUUAUAAUAUUUAGCUUAUAAGACUGGAAUUUUGACCAAAUUCAAAGAAUUUUGACUCUAAGGUGAAAAAGUGGACUAACUGCAUAAUAGGACAUCUAUACCUUUGCACAGGCUAUAAAGAAGUGUCAUCUGUUUUCAUGGGUAGUUCCGAGUAUGUUAUUUGAUUGAGGAUAAAUUACAUAUUAUUGUACAUUACGUUUUCAUCUGUCUGUGAUAUUUUCAUGAAAUUUCCUUAAAACCAUGUGUAUUUACAAUAUAAAUAUUUCUUGCAUGAGUUCUUUUGACCGCUUAAUUUUCAUUUUUUCUGUCAGCAGUUGAACUUAAUUUCAUAAAAAUAUUUGUUAUCAAAUACUGCAAAUGUGAUUAUUUUUGCACAGAAAAUAUUUACAAAAUCGUGAAUCCAGUUAAAAAUGUACACGUAACACAUCUCGGUUUAUAUUAGGAAAAGUAAGCAUCCUGAGGAAUUUCAUUCUUUGUGUAUGUGAAUAUUUCAGCAUGUUAACCAGACCAGAAGUACCAUUUUUAUCAUUAUUUAAAAACUGAUACCAUGAAUACUUCGAGCAUUUGGAGAAAUAGACAAUUCAUCUAUAUUAGCUUGAAGAAUAGUCAUUUUUGUAUUUCAGAACAAAAAUGUAGCUUAUUACAGUUUUUAAAAGUUAUCAGUUCAAGAACAGGAGCUAUCCAUAUUAGACAGCACGCUGCUCGACUCUGAAUUAGAGCUUUGCCAGUAAAAGGGUCAUAAAUCUGUCAAAACUCUAAUCAGAGUUAUGGGGAUUGUUAUGUCUCACCCCUUCUGGGGGAGACAUAUUGUUUUUGCCCUGUCCAUUCGUCUGUAUGUACGUCACACUUCAUUUUCUGAUCAAUAACUGGAGAACUAUUUGAUCUAGAACCUGCAAACCUCAUAGGGUUGUAGGGCUGCUGGAGUAGACGACCCCUAUUGUUUUUUGGGUCACUCUAUCAAAGGUCAAGGUCACAGGGGCCUGAACAUUGAAAACAAUUUCCAAUCAAUAACUAGAGAACCACUUGACCCAGAAUGUUGAAACUUCAUAGGAUGAUUGGUCAUGUAGAGUAGAUGACGCCUUUAGUUUUUAGGGUUACUCUGUCAAAGGUCAAAGUCACAGGGGCCUGAACAUUGAACACCAUUUCUGAUCAAUAACUUCAGUACCACUUGACCCAGAAUGUUGAAACUUCAUAGGAUGAUUGAUCAUGCAGAGUAGAUGACCCCUAUUGAUUUUGGGGUCACUCUGUUAAAGGUCAAGGUCACAGGGGCCUGAACAUCGAAAAUCAUUUUCGAUCAAUAAUUUAAGAACCACUUGACCCAGAAUGUUGAAACUUUAUAGGAUGAUUGGAAUGCAGAGUAGAUGACCCCUGUCAAUUUUUGGGUCAGUCUAUUGAAGGUCAAGGUCACAGGGGCUUGGUCAUGUAAAAUAAUUUCCGGAAAGUAACUUGAGAACCACUUGACCUAGAAUGUUGAAACCAACCAUCAGUGUCUCUUUGACUUUCGCUCCUGACCGCUAUUGACUUCUUGCCUAUAGGACUUUGCAUUGGGGGAGACAUGCGCUUUUUUACAAAAGCAGUUUCUAGUUUCUUUAAGUGUAGCCUUUGAUAGUAAAUAACUAUUUUAAGUCAAUAGCUUUGAUAGUAACAGAGAUAUUGAACGUUAUAUAAAACUUUAACCCAAAAAUUCUAAGUUAAAAAGGGACAUAAAUCUGUCAAAAUACAAAUCAGAGUUAUGGAGAUUAUUUCUCCUGGUGUAGACUGUGAAAGUAGUUUCAAGUCAAAAGCUUUAACAGUAACAGAGAUAUUUGACUGUAUUAAAAACUUUAACCAAAAAGUUCUAAAUUAAAAAAGGGCAUAAAUCGGUCAAAAUUCAAACAGAUUCAUGGGGAUUGUUUCUCCUCAUAUUGUUUUUCCCUUAAACAACCUAAUUGAUUAAACAGGUUUAAUUUUAACUAUGACUGAAAAAUUUCUCUACACAUAUGACAUAUAAACUUUCAGAUUGAGAUGAUUUUCUAAGGUUGCCACUGGGUCAGUUUUCAAGCCACUUGUUACGUUAUUACUUAGCACCCUGGUGCACAACAUGUCUUUCUCUAUUCACUAUCUACUAUGCCAUUCACAGGGAACUAUCUACUAUGCCAUUCACAGGGACCAGUCUAAUUAACAUAACAUGAAUCUGCAUGGGGAUUGUAGAUAGGAAAAUAAUUUUGUGAUUUAUUUAUUGCAGAGAUUAAUCUACCCUUUGACGUAAGUAAAAAACUUUGGAGGUAU